CAUUUUUUUUUCUCUUUUCUUUUGUUUUGUUUUUUUACGUUUUGUUGUGUGUGCUGUUUCGUGAGGGAGAGAAGGAGGUUGCAGGAAAUAACAUAAAAAGUGCACGUGGUACGGUAAAAAGAGAAAACUAAAGAUGAAUGGAGAAAUGGGCUUUCUUUCUUUUUUUUUUUUGGAAAU
rnacentral:ribozyme from 1 species